UCUAGGAUCCAGGUGGAGCCUGCUAACUCAGCCCUGCUGCCCAGCUGAGGUGCACCAGAGCAGCCACCCAGACCCAGGACAUGAUCCGAUUAAGACAGUUUCCAAAGACGGGGCACCCCCGGGGGCAAGCACCAGGUGUCUGUUUCACUUCUGGAGGUGCAAGAGGGAAAGGAACUCAUUUUUCUUCGCAUAAAAGCCACUGCCAAGCUGUGUGCCUUGGGCUGCCUGGCCCUUGAGGGGCCUUUUCCUAAUCUGCAGAGGUACCAGAGUGGCCACAAAUUGCAGACGGGAGGACAGGAAGAUGCAGAGUCCUGCCUGGCGCCUCAGACGGCAGCUGUGCCCACUGCUGCCACCCAGUGGCGGGGAGGAGGCACGGGAAUCUGAGCAGGGACCCCACAAGGCCUUCCCGGCACAGAGGAAGGGGACAGUGCUCGGGAGCCGGGUGGACCCAGGUUUGCCUGAAUUUCACCUCCAGGUUAGUGAUUGGGGUACACCUCGCAUAUCUCCUCCUACUUAGGUUAUAAUCCUUGCCUCUCAGGGCUACAGUAGGGACAGUGAGAGGGGUGCAUGCAGUAGGUACUCAUUAAAUGCUCCCUCCUGCCCAAGGUGGGGACUGACUCUUACGGCCAUGGUGGAACUAAGAUGGAAGCCCCAGAAGGCCCCAGCAUCUCCCAGGUCUCCUGUGGAUGGCGGGGUCCCAGAGAUGAAGUGGGGCCCACAUAGUGGUGUUCCCCAUUCUGGUUCCCACACCCCAGUCAGCCUCCCCAUUGUUUUGAAUCAAAGGUUAUCUGAGUGUCACCUCCAUCCUAAUCAGAGCACUGCCCUACCCUAGGCCCCCCAAACCUUCCUAGGAAGUUCUGCUAUGGCCCCAGAAAGUAAACAGGCAAAGGUAGCUGGAAACUAAUUGCAAAAUUUAUUCCAGGGUGGCAGGGCCGGGGAGCUUCUUAAGGGCACUUCUCGUUUGGGGGCUGUGGGUCUCCAACCUUGACAGGGGCACACGCUUCAGUGGACAAGGGUAGGGGCUGAGGCAGGGUGGUGGGGGAGUAGGGAUACCCAGUCACUUCCAAAUGGGCAGGUCAGCACAAGCUGCAACAGCAACAUUAAAGCAGGACAGACAGUGGCCCGACACGGGGACGGGGACAGCGAGGCCUCGCCCUAGUGCCUGGGCCGGAGAGUCAGGACACCGGGCAGGAGGCCAGGGAGCUAAGGCCCAGCUUCAGGGGGUUGCGGCAAGGGACCCAAUGCGAUAGGGUCAAUGAGGAGAGGCUGAUCACCAAUGUCCCUGACCUAGAGACCCCCACUCCCUCCCCAAGUUCACCCACAUUCCUACCCAUGGAGAUCCUGAGCUUCCACCCAGCGCAUCCUGCUGCCCAUCUAGUGGGGUGGGGGCAAGCCACAGCGCCUCUGGAUUGGAGUGGGGCUCUGAAAUAAUGACCCAGCACCACCAUGGGUGCUUGGUACGAGGGUGCUUAGGGAGAGACCAUGGUGUUAAUCCCCAAAUCCCAGACUCAGUGCUCAGAUCUGUCCUCUGCCCCCCACAUACACUUUUCGAGGGGUAGCUAGGAGAUUCAAAACCAAACCAACCAAAACAAAAAGGCAGGUGAAUACCAGCGUGGCGGGCCACUUGGGGCGGGGCAAGAAUGCUGACUGUGCCAGCCACUCCUCUGGAGAGAGAAGGCGAGAAAGGCGAUUGGAGCUGUUCUUCCAGGCCCCAUGGCAAAGUUUCCCCUGCAGAAGUCGGGGAGGGGGUAGAGAGCCG